rnacentral:rRNA from 1 species
GCUUUCCCUUCGGGGCAGAUGUGUAGGUGCUGCAUGGUUGUCGUCAGCUCGUGCCGUGAGGUGUCGGCUUAAGUGCCAUAAUGAGCGCAACCCUCAUCAUUAGUUACCAUCAGGUUAAGCUGGGGACUCUAAUGAGACUGCCAUCGUAAGAUGCGAGGAAGGUGGGGAUGACGUCAAAUCAGCACGGCCCUUACGUCCGGGGCGACACACGUGUUACAAUGGGUGGUACAAAGGGCAGCUACCUGGCGACAGGAUGCUAAUCUUCAAAACCACUCUCAGUUCGGAUCGGAGUCUGCAACUCGACUCCGUGAAGCUGGAUUCGCUAGUAAUCGCGCAUCAGCCACGCCGCGGUGAAUACGUUCCCGGGCCUU